CAGCAGCCGCGGGAACACAGAGGGUGCAAGCGUUAAUCGGAAUUACUGGGCGUAAAGCGCGCGUAGGUGGUUUGUUAAGUUGGAUGUGAAAUCCCCGGGCUCAACCUGGGAACUGCAUUCAAAACUGACUGACUAGAGUAUGGUAGAGGGUGGUGGAAUUUCCUGUGUAGCGGUGAAAUGCGUAGAUAUAGGAAGGAACACCAGUGGCGAAGGCGACCACCUGGACUAAUACUGACACUGAGGUGCGAAAGCGUGGGGAGCAAACAGGAUUAGAUACCCCUGUAGUCCCUGUCUCUUAUAC
rnacentral:rRNA from 1 species